UGGGGAAUCUUGCGCAAUGGCCGAAAGGCUGACGCAGCGACGCCGCGUGCGGUAGGAAGGCCUUCGGGUCGUAAACCGCUGUCGGGAGGGAAGAAGCGACCGGGGGGGAAAUCCCCUGGUUCUGACGGUACCUCCAAAGGAAGCACCGGCUAACUCCGUGCCAGCAGCCGCGGUAAUACGGAGGGUGCGAGCGUUGUUCGGAAUUAUUGGGCGUAAAGCGCGCGCAGGCGGCCGAACAAGUCCAUGGGUCAAAGGCUGGGGCUCAACCCCAAGCACGCCCAGGAUACUGUUCGGCUAGAGACACGUAGAGGCAAGCGGAAUUCCGGGUGUAGCGGUGGAAUGCGUAGAGAUCCGGAAGAACACCGGAGGCGAAGGCGACUUGCUGGGCGUGAUCUGACGCUGAGGCGCGAAAGCGUGGGGAGCGAACAGGAUUAGAUACCCUGGUAGUCCACGCUGUAAACGAUGGGCACUGGAUGCGGGGGGGAUCGGCCCUCUCCGUGUCGCAGCUUACGCGUUAAGUGCCCCGCCUGGGGAGUACGGCCGCAAGGCUGA
rnacentral:rRNA from 1 species